rnacentral:rRNA from 1 species
GAUGAACGCUGACAGAAUGCUUAACACAUGCAAGUCGAUGGGGAAGUGGUGCUUGCACCAUGGUAACCAUGGCGGACGGGUGAGUAACGCGUAAGGAACUUACCUGCGGGACCGGGAUAACAGCAGGAAACUGCUGACAAGACCGGAUAAGGUCAUUAAGCUGCAUAGCUUAGUGAUGAAAGGAGACGCCUGCGGAGAGCCUUGCGUCCUAUUAGCUAGUUGGAGGGGUAACGGCUCACCAAGGCGAAGAUAGGUAGCCGGCCUGAGAGGGUGGACGGCCACAAGGGGACUGAGAUACGGCCCUUACUCCUACGGGAGGCAGCAGUGGGGAAUAUUGGACAAUGGGGGCAACCCUGAUCCAGCAAUUCUGUGUGCACGAAGACGGUUUUCGGAUUGUAAAGUGCUUUCAGCAGGGAAGAAGGAAGUGACGGUACCUGCAGAAGAAGCGACGGCUAAAUACGUG